AGUUCCAUGGCUCAGUGGUUAGAGUACCCGCUUUACAAAAUGACUGUCGACUUUGAAACCGCGGAUGGUCGAGGGUUCGAUCCCCUCUGGAACUA